GUUGGUAGUUUUAGCGGGAGAGUGUCGGACUUGCAUUCCAAUGGUAACUGGUUUGAAACCAGUUCAGGCCA